rnacentral:rRNA from 1 species
UACGUAGGGGGCAAGCGUUGUCCGGAAUCAUUGGGCGUAAAGAGCGUGUAGGCGGUUCGGUAAGUCCGCUGUGAAAGUCCAGGGCUCAACCCUGGAAAGCCGGUGGAAACUGUCGAGCUAGAGUCCGGAAGAGGCGAGUGGAAUUCCUGGUGUAGCGGUGAAAUGCGCAGAUAUCAGGAGGAACACCAAUGGCGAAGGCAGCUCGCUGGGACGGUACUGACGCUGAGGCGCGAAAGCGUGGGGAGCAAACAGG